CUACAACUAAGACUGCCUCCAAUUGUCUGUAAACUUACAGAGACUGGUACAAAUCUUGACCCAAAGGAAGCAGAUUUGCUGUUUUAAGAGAGAAGCUGCAUUUUGAGCACAAGAGACUCAAAUGACGUUUGAAUUGAUUGGAGAAAGCAAUGAGGGAUGUCUAGAUUUGGAUUGCUCUCUUGCAGAGAGCAGAAUGCUCAUCUGCUGGGAAGAGGGGACAGCCCCAUCACCCCAGACCUGGUCUGGCUGCCAUGGAGAAGUUGUUGUAGAAACUUCCUGUGACUGUGGGCUUCUCCUCAAGAGGACAUAGGCAGGAAGAAACUGUGCAUUUCCACGUGGAAACCAGAGCUGGGAAAGGAAGCCAAUGGCAGCUGUGUGCCCUUAUCCACCCUGAGUAGAUACAGCCGAAGAGAGCAAACCAAUACUAUUAAAAGGACUGGGGAAGAGAAGGGCUCUCCUCCCACCAGCAGAAUAUUUUUCUUCCCUUUGCUUUAGUGAAGUUGCUUUUUAAUUAAGUGGUCCUCCACCUACGAAUAUUUAUGAAAAAGAAACAAAAGUGCCUGCCUCCAGGGCUGGUUUUUCAACAACAGAAGGUGAAGCAAACAGGUGCAAGUCUUGCUGGACUAUGACUUAGGGGUGGCUCAAUGCUUCUGUGAAUGCCACAAGGAAAAAAAAGGCAUCAAGCUGAAUUUUAAAUAAAACCUUUAAUGUGGACAGAGUGACCUGAGCUCAAGCUGAUGCACCAACCAGUGCCCUUUCAGCUGAAAAAGCAGAUCCGCCCAUCAGCUCAGCCCUCCUGUCCCAGCACAGCCCACACAUUCCUCAGAAGCCCACAUUAGCUGCCAGACAUCAGAUUACUGACAUACUCCUUCGACUGUAACCUCUUGCUGUAGCCUGCCCAGAGGCACAUGGGUGGGCAUUCAUGUGAACAGAGAGAAAAGAUGAUAUGCAAUUGCAAGGGCUGCUUGAUCCUGCAGAUCAUAGGCUGAGCCAGAUAAUUCCACGGCUUUUUGCUGAGAAAAGAGAGGAGAAGGAGAUGAGAGGCGAUUUUGGUGUCAUCAAGUGCAGGAACCUCACACGUGACUUUAUCCUUAUUUAAGUCACACUCACAGGAUGGUGCUUUCUUUGAUUUACUGAGGUUCAACAGGUGCUGGGAGCUGGAUGACGUUCAUUAGACCUUGGCUUCAAAGGGCAGUACUGGCCAGCCCCGAACUGACUUUGCCUUUCACUGUGGGGCAGCUAUUCCCGGAGACUGAGCGGGUGACCUUUAUCAGAUUGGUGAGAGAGCAAUAAGAGAGAAGAAACUCCCAGCCCAAAGACUUAUGCUGUCACCUUCAAAGAAGAAGAAAGAUAUGGGGAGAAGAAGGAAAAAAUAAAAUCCA
rnacentral:lncRNA from 1 species